AUAUGUGCAAUGGGGGGGAGUAAAAGGGCUGCGUAAGGGAGACGGGGAGUGUGGGCAUGGUGCAUUUGUAGGGGGACAUUUAUAUAUGGUGGUAAUGCUGAAAUCAGCCCUUCCCUACUCAUAAUGAAAUUACGAACCCAGCGAAGGAGAAAGACCCUCUGUUUUACAUUGUACAGCAGCAUGAACCUUUCAGAGUCCAUGUCAGACUCCCCUUUGUUCUUUUGAACCAAUACUGACAAGAACGAUUCUUUUCAAAUGUAUUUCCACAUUCCUAAUCUUUGUGCAUAUUUAUCUGAGCUUGUCACUCUGGUGCCUUGUUUGGAAGUGUACACUUGAGUCUCUUUUCAAAUGUAUAUAAUUAGCCUCUUGAAGUUUCUUUACUUGUGAGUAUAGAGCCUCCCUCCCCUGUGGAUCCCAAAGCAGGUUCUGCAGAGGCCCUGAUAUUUUUUUUUUUUUUUAAGAUUUAUUUCAGACAGAACAGGAGUGGGAAAGGCAGAGAGAGAAAAUCUCAAGCACACACCAUGCUGAGCACAGAGCCCAAUGCAGGGCUUGAUCCCACGACCAAGAGAUCACGACCUGAGCUGAAGUCAAAGAGUCAGACAGUUAACGGACUGCACCAUCCAGUCACCCCGAGGCACUGAUAUUUAGAGAGCACAAACAGGAGAAGCAGGCUCCCAGCUGAGCAGAGAGCCCUAAGUGGGGCUCCAGCCCAGGACCUGACCAGAGCCAAAGGCAGCUGCUUGACCAAGUGAGCCACCCAGCUUUCACUUCUAUAGGAUCUCUGGAACAGUGCUGGAUGAAGCAACUAUGGUAAUCUCUACACCCAAUGCAAGGCUCAGACUCACGACCCCCAGAUCGAGUCGCACGCUCUACCAACUGAGCCAGCCAGGUGCUGCUUAUUUCUGUUAUUUAAAAACUAGUAAUAAAGGUUGAAAAAACCCAAGUUGGGUCUGUUAGUAAAAAAAGGGGGUGCCUCCAUUUCUGUGAUCCCCCACAAUCUGCCUGGCCCUCUCCACCCUCCCUUUGCUCCCCAGUCCCAGGGCUUACAUU